AUUGAACGCUGGCGGCAUGCUUUACACAUGCAAGUCGAGCGGUAACAGGUUAAGCUGACGAGUGGCGAACGGGUGAGUAAUGCAUCGGAACGUGCCCGGUCGUGGGGGAUAACGCAGCGAAAGCUGCGCUAAUACCGCAUACGAUCUGAGGAUGAAAGCGGGGGACCGUAAGGCCUCGCGCGAUCGGAGCGGCCGAUGUCAGAUUAGGUAGUUGGUGGGGUAAAGGCGCACCAAGCCAACGAUCUGUAGCUGGUCUGAGAGGACGACCAGCCACACUGGGACUGGGACACGGCCAAGACUCCUACGGGAGGCAGCAGUGGGGAAUUUUGGACAAUGGGCGAAAGCCUGAUCCAGCAAAGCCGCGUGCAGGAAGAAGGCCUUCGGGUUGUAAACUGCUUUUGUACGGAGCGAAAAGGUCUCCUCUAAUACAGGGGGCUCAUGACGGUACCGUAAGAAUAAGCACCGGCUAACUACGUGCCAGCAGCCGCAGUAA
rnacentral:rRNA from 1 species